AUGGCUUUUCCUGGCCAAUCUGAUACCAAGAUGCAGUGGCAGAAGUACCUGCACUUCCACUCCUGUCAAGUCUCUGCAUGGCUAUGGUGAGGAAGAGCUCUGCACUGGGCAAGGAAGUUGGCUGUCGAGUGAAGGAAAUGGUGAUGCUGGUGGCCCCUUUCCUGCAGUCAAGUUCCCUAUCAAGGACAUUCAGUUCUCGGAAAGUGGUGAAGGCACACGCUUCCCUGCAUGGUGCCCGCCUCUCUCCACUCUCUAGAAAUAUUAGAGGCUAGGCUGCUGCUGUAUGUCAGGGCUAGUCCCUCUUCUAUGAAUCCAGAAUAACUCUGAAGAAGCCGAGUAACAGGCAUGAAGUGAAGAGAAAUCGCUGUAACAGGAAGACAGCAAAGCAGAUGCUAAUGACGACACUAUUUAACGAACUGGAACCAACGAGAAAAUACGGUAUUAUUGAAGACUGCACUUCCUUGAACAGAGUGCUCUUCUCAGCAAAUCGGAAAUGCCUACACAAAUCGCUUUACAAGAAGGACUGUUUCAAAGCAGCACCUUUCUCAAUGUUCUCGUUCAGGUGA
rnacentral:antisense_RNA from 1 species